UUGCAGGUUCUAAAAUAUAGUAAGCAUUGUAGAGUCUGUGACAAAUGCGUUGAUGGCUUUGAUCAUCAUUGCAGGUGGAUCAAUAACUGCAUAGGAAGAAAAAAUUACAAAAGGUUCUUCAUCCUCAUGGUGUUUGCUCUUCUCUUGGUCCUUUUCAUUCUGAUUGACUAUUGAUUGGUCUCCAUGCUUUGUGCACCUUGGGCCAGCUUAUUCUGCAGUGGGCUGUUGGG